GGGACACGUGGUAUCCUGUCUGAAUAUGGGGGGACCAUCCUCCAAGGCUAAAUACUCCUGACUGACCGAUAGUGAACCAGUACCGUGAGGGAAAGGCGAAAAGAACCCCGGCGAGGGGAGUGAAAAAGAACCUGAAACCGUGUACGUACAAGCAGUGGGAGCACGCUUAGGCGUGUGACUGCGUACCUUUUGUAUAAUGGGUCAGCGACUUAUAUUCUGUAGCAAGGUUAACCGAAUAGGGGAGCCGAAGGGAAACCGAGUCUUAACUGGGCGUUAAGUUGCAGGGUAUAGACCCGAAACCCGGUGAUCUAGCCAUGGGCAGGUUGAAGGUUGGGUAACACUAACUGGAGGACCGAACCGACUAAUGUUGAAAAAUUAGCGGAUGACUUGUGGCUGGGGGUGAAAGGCCAAUCAAACCGGGAGAUAGCUGGUUCUCCCCGAAAGCUAUUUAGGUAGCGCCUCGUGAAUUCAUCUCCGGGGGUAGAGCACUGUUUCGGCAAGGGGGUCAUCCCGACUUACCAACCCGAUGCAAACUGCGAAUACCGGAGAAUGUUAUCACGGGAGACACACGGCGGGUGCUAACGUCCGUCGUGAAGAGGGAAACAACCCAGACCGCCAGCUAAGGUCCCAAAGUCAUGGUUAAGUGGGAAACGAUGUGGGAAGGCCCAGACAGCCAGGAUGUUGGCUUAGAAGCAGCCAUCAUUUAAAGAAAGCGUAAUAGCUCACUGGUCGAGUCGGCCUGCGCGGAAGAUGUAACGGGGCUAAACCAUGCACCGAAGCUGCGGCAGCGACGCUUAUGCGUUGUUGGGUAGGGGAGCGUUCUGUAAGCCUGUGAAGGUGUGCUGUGAGGCAUGCUGGAGGUAUCAGAAGUGCGAAUGCUGACAUAAGUAACGAUAAAGCGGGUGAAAAGCCCGCUCGCCGGAAGACCAAGGGUUCCUGUCCAACGUUAAUCGGGGCAGGGUGAGUCGACCCCUAAGGCGAGGCCGAAAGGCGUAGUCGAUGGGAAACAGGUUAAUAUUCCUGUACUUGGUGUUACUGCGAAGGGGGGACGGAGAAGGCUAUGUUGGCCGGGCGACGGUUGUCCCGGUUUAAGCGUGUAGGCUGGUUUUCCAGGCAAAUCCGGAAAAUCAAGGCUGAGGCGUGAUGACGAGGCACUACGGUGCUGAAGCAACAAAUGCCCUGCUUCCAGGAAAAGCCUCUAAGCAUCAGGUAACAUCAAAUCGUACCCCAAACCGACACAGGUGGUCAGGUAGAGAAUACCAAGGCGCUUGAGAGAACUCGGGUGAAGGAACUAGGCAAAAUGGUGCCGUAACUUCGGGAGAAGGCACGCUGAUAUGUAGGUGAAGCGACUUGCUCGUGGAGCUGAAAUCAGUCGAAGAUACCAGCUGGCUGCAACUGUUUAUUAAAAACACAGCACUGUGCAAACACGAAAGUGGACGUAUACGGUGUGACGCCUGCCCGGUGCCGGAAGGUUAAUUGAUGGGGUCAGCGCAAGCGAAGCUCUUGAUCGAAGCCCCGGUAAACGGCGGCCGUAACUAUAACGGUCCUAAGGUAGCGAAAUUCCUUGUCGGGUAAGUUCCGACCUGCACGAAUGGCGUAAUGAUGGCCAGGCUGUCUCCACCCGAGACUCAGUGAAAUUGAACUCGCUGUGAAGAUGCAGUGUACCCGCGGCAAGACGGAAAGACCCCGUGAACCUUUACUAUAGCUUGACACUGAACAUUGAGCCUUGAUGUGUAGGAUAGGUGGGAGGCUUAGAAGUGUGGACGCCAGUCUGCAUGGAGCCGACCUUGAAAUACCACCCUUUAAUGUUUGAUGUUCUAACGUUGACCCGUAAUCCGGGUUGCGGACAGUGUCUGGUGGGUAGUUUGACUGGGGCGGUCUCCUCCUAAAGAGUAACGGAGGAGCACGAAGGUUGGCUAAUCCUGGUCGGACAUCAGGAGGUUAGUGCAAUGGCAUAAGCCAGCUUGACUGCGAGCGUGACGGCGCGAGCAGGUGCGAAAGCAGGUCAUAGUGAUCCGGUGGUUCUGAAUGGAAGGGCCAUCGCUCAACGGAUAAAAGGUACUCCGGGGAUAACAGGCUGAUACCGCCCAAGAGUUCAUAUCGACGGCGGUGUUUGGCACCUCGAUGUCGGCUCAUCACAUCCUGGGGCUGAAGUAGGUCCCAAGGGUAUGGCUGUUCGCCAUUUAAAGUGGUACGCGAGCUGGGUUUAGAACGUCGUGAGACAGUUCGGUCCCUAUCUGCCGUGGGCGCUG
rnacentral:rRNA from 1 species